rnacentral:lncRNA from 1 species
UGUCUCCCCUCCAGUCUUUAGAAGAAAAAGCCUUGUUUGAUAGUCUCUUAAGUAAUGCUUGCACAGGUGAAUUGUGCCUAAUUUUUAUGAAAGCUGAUGUGUACCCAAUUGUCAGACCAAGAUUAAGCACAUUUUGGUUUUGUAGUUAACUAGGGGGAACUUUCACACAUUAAUUUUCUCCAAGUAAUUACAACAUUCAGUGCCAUAAACGAAUAAAUUUAGGGUGCCACGCUAUGUAGCUCAGGCUAGGUUUGCUUUUUUCCUGGGCUUCCACGUGUGUCCCUCUGUGCCUAGCUUCUGGUGCUUUUUCUUAAGUACUUGAUUUGGUUAUUUUGACUGUUUUGAAUUUUUUCUAGAGAAGAAACGGGUCUAAAGACAGCCUGAUUGAAGAAAAAUCUCAGCUUUCUACAACCAACCUGGCUGGAAAACAUACAGCAAAAACAAUAAAAACCAUCCAGGCUGCUCGGCUCAAGACAGACGUCACUGGGUGAAGGGGUGUAGGGAAACGUGUGUCACUGGUACUUUUCAAACUGUGAAUUAGAUAAUUACCCACGUAUCUUGGACUCGUGUCCUUAGCACAAGAAAAUUGGCAUCUUUUAAGGAUUUAUGUACAGCAUUCUUGUGCUGUGGGCCUUUGGAAGGACAACCUUAUGAACUCACUGGAUACCACCAUCUCUUUCCUGAAAUUCUGACCAUCCAACUGUGUUUCUCACCUCUCCACCACAGCCAAGACCAGAGGCUUCAGAUGAGCCCCUGGACUCCCAGCUGCCAUCAGACUGUAGUGACUUUUAUUCCCACAACUGUUUGUAAUAUUGUAUUUUGUGACAUUUAAGUCCCAAUGGUUAUUUACAAAUAAUGUAAAAAGCUGUUAAGUGUUGAUUUGAAUUUAAGUGUCCUUGUCUUGUGUUUUCUGAGGCAAAAAAAAAAAAAAAAAAGCCCAUGUAGGCAUUGUCCCCUACCCUACACACCUGUCCACCCAUGUUUCCAAGUUUUGGAUCUUUACCUCUGUGUGAUGGCUUUUCAGACAACAGUACUCAGAAAGAACCUUCUGUAUCUUGCCAGUGGCUGUGUGUGACUCAUCCUUUCCUGUAGCAAUCUCUAGCUUCCUUGAAAUUCUCCAUUCUUAUUAUUUAAGCCUCUGCUGGGCUCAAGAGCUAUGUUGAUCUUGUAGCCAGUUUUAUUACUACCUAGUGAUUCAACUGGGGGUCGACUGCUCAGUGACACAGUGCUUGCCAAACUCUACCCUCAACUCCUGAGGUUCAACUGUGACCUUUGUCCCCCUGCCCCCAAAACUAAAACCAAAUCUAAAUAUUCCUUCCCACGCAGUGUCCUGUCUCAAUGCCUUCAUACACUGCUUUAAUUCUAGGCUGCCUCUACACCCCACAUCCUUUGCAGCUUACCUCACUGUGGUACCUUCUUCGGCCCACCUGCGUGGAACUGCUUUGCUCCCCAUCUUGCUUUAAUAAAACCUAAGCCUU